GACGAACGCUGGCGGCGUGCUUAACACAUGCAAGUCGAACGGAAAGGCCCUGCUUUUGUGGGUUGCUCGAGUGGCGAACGGGUGAGUAACACGUGAGUAACCUGCCCUUGACUUUGGGAUAACUUCAGGAAACUGGGGCUAAUACCGGAUAGGAUCUCCUGCUGCAUGGUGGGGGUUGGAAAGUUUCGGCGGCUGGGGAUGGACUCGCGGCUUAUCAGCUUGUUGGUGGGGUAGUGGCUUACCAAGGCUUUGACGGGUAGCCGGCCUGAGAGGGUGACCGGCCACAUUGGGACUGAGAUACGGCCCAGACUCCUACGGGAGGCAGCAGUGGGGAAUAUUGCACAAUGGGCGGAAGCCUGAUGCAGCAACGCCGCGUGCGGGAUGACGGCCUUCGGGUUGUAAACCGCUUUCGCCUGUGACGAAGCGUGAGUGACGGUAAUGGGUAAAGAAGCACCGGCUAACUACGUG
rnacentral:rRNA from 1 species